UGAGCGCUGUGGAAAACAAUCAAUAUCCAGGAUUAGAUAAAGAUGGGGAAAAAAAGCUCCUUCUGCAAAUUAUUAUCCCAAAAAUAAAACUGAAAAAACAUUACAGAUGUUCAAACUGUUUAUCAUUAAUCAUGAUGAAUUUCUUAUAAUUCGAAUUUGUCAUGACAAUGUAACCUGCACAAAAUAAGGAACCCGUAUUUUAUUUUGGCGGGUCAAUCUGACAGCACCCUUUAAGUUACGGGUCACAGGUGACUCGGAUCUCAAUCGCUGUUGCUGCUGUCCCUGUGGCCAGCUGCUCGUCUCGGCGUCUUCUAAACUUAUAGAAGAAUACGGCUGGAUCGAGGCUUACAAAAAGGACCGAAGGAUUAAAUUGGGUGUUUCCUGUCGACCGCUCGACGGUCAGGUUUUUUCCCACCCCCGGUGUCACGUCAGGAUGGCGAGCUACCGGAUCACCGCAGCUUCGCGGUAGGAUUUAAAUGAACCAAGCUAUUUUUUUCAUUCUGGACCUAUUUGCUCUGGAUCUUGGAAAAAAA